GAGAGAGAGAGAGAGAGAGGCCAUUCUAUUACUCAAUCAAAGACAUCUGAUCUGAGAAUUAUAAAAAUUCUCACAAAAAAUCUUCUUGCUUAUGUUAUUUAAAUUAAGGAAAAGCAAAGGUUAGCUCCACUUUGAGGCUAUGGAUGGAUUGAUGAAUGGAGAUAAUGAACUAAGAAAGUAAAGUGGAGGAGAUCAAUAAAGGAAAAACAAAGGUUGACUCUAAUCUGAGGCUAUAACAGGAUUGAGAAGAUUUGAAUGGAAAAGAAGUGAAGUGGAGGGAGAAUAAUUCCAAAGAUGAGCUGCCAUGAGGCACUUCAAGUGUGUUUGCAAGCAUCAUGCCAGUAGAAGUAUGAACUUUCUUUAAAUAGAAAAGAGAUGCAGGGUUCUACACAAUUUAGAGCGCAAUGCUGUGCAAGUGCAAGCAAGGUGCUAAGGGGUGAGCAGGUGUCAAAUAGUAAUACUAGGUAUGCUCUAUGUGCGCAAGUUGUCAAGUGCUCCAUAUUUUAAGUGGAAAUUGGCAUGCUUAAUUACUAGCAUAUGGCAAUAACAAGUGUGAGGGCAUGAUGUGAUCUAGUGGUGGUACUACUAUCAAUACUUUCCUUCAUAGGUUCACACAACAGUCAACUUAUCUUCAGUAAUUCACCACAUGCUGCCACAUUUCACUUAACAUUUUCCUUCAAAGCUUCCAAAUUACUCACCAAAAGUGGAGAGCUUAAAAGAGAAACAAUACCAACUAUAUAUAAUUUUCAUUUUCAAUAUUUCAAGAUAAGGGCAAUCACCAUGCAUCUUUUAUCAUGCUUCAUUUCCUUUUUGUCCUUUUCUUCUUUUUUUUUCCCCCAUGAUUCCAACUAAUACAAAAUUUGAAAUUAAUUUACUGGUAUUCCUUCUUCACCUCUUGGUUAAUUUUUCGACUAUCUUCUUCCAUAAAUAAUGUUGCAUAAGAUUGACAAUCACAUAUGGAUUAUAUUUUGAGUGUCUAGCACAGUAAAGUUAUAUAUCAUAGCUGGCUGACGUUUGCUCCGUCUAUUAUAAAGAUUGACAAUCACAUACUUGAUUUUGCAUAACUGUUAAAUAAAUCAAAAGCAGAAAUACCAUUUCAU
rnacentral:misc_RNA from 1 species